rnacentral:rRNA from 1 species
AGAAUCAACGCUGGCGGCGUGCCUAACACAUGCAAGUCGAACGAGAAAGGGGAGCAAUCCCUGAGUAAAGUGGCGACCGGGUGAGUAACACGUGACUAACCUACCUUCGAGUGGGGGAUAACCUCGGGAAACCGAGGCUAAUACCGCAUAACAUCGGCGCUUUUAAUAAGUGCCGAUCAAAGCAGCAAUGCGCUGGAAGAGGGGGUCGCGGCUGAUUAGCUAGUUGGCGGGGUAACGGCCCACCAAGGCGAUGAUCGGUA